rnacentral:rRNA from 1 species
CCUACGGGUGGCACCAGUGGGGAAUAUUGGACAAUGGGCGAAAGCCUGAUCCAGCAAUGCCGCGUGUGUGAAGAAGGUCUUCGGAUUGUAAAGCACUUCGACAGGGACGAUGAUGACGGUACCCGUAGAAGAAGCCCCGGCUAACUUCGUGCCAGCAGCCGCGGUAAUACGAAGGGGGCUAGCGUUGCUCGGAAUGACUGGGCGUAAAGGGCGCGUAGGCGGUUUAUGCAGUCAGAUGUGAAAUCCCCGGGCUUAACCUGGGAACUGCAUUUGAGACGCAUAGACUAGAGGUCGAGAGAGGGUUGUGGAAUUCCCAGUGUAGAGGUGAAAUUCGUAGAUAUUGGGAAGAACACCGGUGGCGAAGGCGGCAACCUGGCUCGAUACUGACGCUGAGGCGCGAAAGCGUGGGGAGCAAACAGGAUUAGAUACCCGAGUAGUC